CAGCUCAUGAUUUUUGUUUUUCUGUCUGUCGCCACAGUUGCCAAGUAAAGAUCCAGAGAUCCAGUCCUGACUCCUGCGUCUCCUUUCCAACUGCUUUUCUCCCUUUUCCCUAUAUGUGUGUGCGAGCUGCUUGUAAUGAUGUCAUGCCUGUAAAAAAGGAGACUGGACUGGAGAAGAAGAAAAGUGGCACAUUGUUGGCUUUGCUAGCAAUGCUCAUUGGCUUGUGGAUCACAAGGCAGACAUGUAGUGCUGUAAUUGUGCCAACCUGAACACUGAUGGUACCUGCUGUAGAAUGAGUCAUGUGGACAAGAAAACGUACACUCCUCGACACUUCACCUUGCGCAGCCAAAAUGGACAAUCGGAGGUAUUUAAGGAGGCCCCAGCAGCCAAGCAAGUGAACAGACAGUUUGAAGUGAUCAGGCUCUGUUUCUCAUGCACAGUAUGUAUUGCCCACAUUGAAUGUCUCCUAACAUGAUUUUUACAUUUGUUUAAUUUGCAAGAAAUGGUUACAACGUUUAAUGGCCAUGAUUUAAGUCCAAAUAUUGUUGAUUGUCUUCAUAAGCUGCUCCUGUGCUUCACAAUUGUGGAAGAGUACAGCUCCCAAUACACAUUCAUUGCAUCGAGCAAAAGGCCUCAAAAUUACUCUUAUUGCACAUAACAGGCAAUAAGUAGAUUCUGCUAGUAUAUGUUACAAAAGCCCACGACAUCAUGUCU